rnacentral:rRNA from 1 species
CCUACGUGCGGCAGCAGUGAGGAAUAUUGGUCAAUGGACGAGAGUCUGAACCAGCCAAGCAGCGUGAAGGAGGACUGCCCUAUGGAUUGUAAACUUCUUUUAUCUGGGAAUAAAACGUUCCACGUGUGGGCUUUUGUAUGUACCAUAUGAAAAAGGAUCGGCUAACUCCGUGCCAUCAGCCGCGGUAAUACGGAGGAUGCGAGCUUUAUCCGGAUUUAUUGGGGUUAAAGGGCACGCCGGGGGAUGUUUACGUCAGUGGUGAAAUGUUGCGGCUCAACCGUAAAAUUGCAGUUGAAACUGGCAGUCUUGAGUACAGUAGAGGUGGGCGGAAUUCGAGGUGUAGCGGUGAAAUGCUUAGAUAUCACGAAGAACUCCGAUUGCGAAGGCAGCUCACUGGACUGCAACUGACACUGAGGCUCGAAAGUGUGGGUAUCAAACAGGAUUAGAUACCCCGGUAGUC